UACAGAGGCCUCGAGCGUUAGGCGGAAUCACUGGGCUUAAAGCGCGUGUAGGCGGAUCGUUAAGUGUCUUGUGAAAUACCCCGGCUUAACCGGUGGAACUGCGAUUGAUACUGUUUGACUUGAAUCAGGUUGAGGUAGGCGGAAUGAGGCAUGUAGCGGUGAAAUGCUUAGAUAUGCCAUAGAACACCGAUUGCGAAGGCAGCUUGCUGGACCUGUAUUGACGCUGAGGCACGAAAGCGUGGGGAGCAAACAGG
rnacentral:rRNA from 1 species